rnacentral:lncRNA from 1 species
ACUAGGCUGAUUUCGUCAAGGGCCUUCGAUUGAGUCCAAAAGUCUCCAGAUCUGUUCGUUGCUGGUUCUGCUGCACCCAAGGUCCGUGGGAGGAGCCGGGAUCGUGCUUCAAUAGUUAAUACAUGUUAAUUAAUUAGAUUAAUUAAUAAUUUUUACUGUAAAAUUAUAAUUUUGAAAAAAUUUUAAAAUUAUCAUUUUACCCCUGUACUGAAAUUCACUU